rnacentral:rRNA from 1 species
CCUACGGGAGGCAGCAGUGGGGAAUAUUGCGCAAUGGGCGAAAGCCUGACGCAGCGACGCCGCGUGAGGGAUGAAGGUCUUCGGAUCGUAAACCUCUGUCAGCAGGGAAGAACGGUCACUGUGCUAAUCAGCAGUGAAUUGACGGUACCUACAAAGGAAGCACCGGCUAACUCCGUGCCAGCAGCCGCGGUAAUACGGAGGGUGCGAGCGUUAAUCGGAAUUACUGGGCGUAAAGCGCUCGUAGGCGGUAUGUCAAGUCAAGGGUGAAAUCCCGGGGCUCAACGUCGGAAUUGCCUCUGAUACUGGUCGGCUAGAGAGGAGGAGCGGUAUGCGGAAUGUAUGGUGUAGCGGUGAAAUGCUUAGAGAUCGUACAGAACACCGAUUGCGAAGGCAGCUUACC